rnacentral:sRNA from 1 species
GCUGGGUGCAGUGGCACACACCUGUAAUCCCAGCGGCUCGGGAGGCUGAGACAGGAGGAUCGCAAAUUCAAAGCCAGCCUCAGCAAAAGCGAGGCGCUAAGCAACUCUGUGAGACUCUGUCUCUA